rnacentral:ncRNA from 1 species
CAAAGGCUUGGUCCUGACUUUAUUAUCAGCUUUAACAUAAAUUACACAUGCAAGUAUCCGCACCCCUGUGAGGAUGCCCUUAAUCCUCUGCCCGAGGACGAGGAGCAGGCAUCAGGCACAGCAUACUGGCCCAAGACGCCUUGCCACGCCACACCCCCAAGGGAAUUCAGCAGUGAUAGACAUUAAGCCAUAAGUGUAAACUUGACUUAGUUAAUGUUAAAAGGACCGGUAAAACUCGUGCCAGCCACCGCGGUUAUACGAGAGGUCCUAGUUGAUAACUACGGCGUAAAGGGUGGUUAAGGAGAAUAAAAAUUUAAAGUCAAAGGGCCUCCUGGCCGUCAUACGCUUCUGAGCGUCCGAAGCCCAAUUAAACGAAAGUAACUUUAAUAUUACCCACCUGACCCCACGAAAACUGAGAAACAAACUGGGAUUAGAUACCCCACUAUGCUCAGCCGUAAACCUAGACGUUACUAUACAAUAAACGUCCGCCAGGGUACUACAAGCGUUAGCUUAAAACCCAAAGGACUUGGCGGUGCCUCAGACCCCCCUAGAGGAGCCUGUUCUAGAACCGAUAACCCCCGUUAAACCUCACCACAUCUAGUCAUCCCCGCCUAUAUACCGCCGUCGUCAGCUUACCCUGUGAAGGUAAAAUAGUAAGCUAAAUGAGCACAGCCCAAAACGUCAGGUCGAGGUGUAGCGCACGAAGUGGGAAGAAAUGGGCUACAUUUUCUACAUUAGAAUAUUUACGAAUAGUACCCUGAAAACUUACUUGAAGGAGGAUUUAGUAGUAAAAAGGAAAUAGAGUGUCCUUUUGAACUCGGCUCUGAGGCGCGUACACACCGCCCGUCACUCUCCCCUGUCACAUAGCAACAAAUGUUUUUAACACCAAAGCAACGACAAGGGGAGGCAAGUCGUAACAUGGUAAGUGUACCGGAAGGUGUACUUGGAUCAAACC